UACGAAGGGGGCUAGCGUUGUUCGGAAUUACUGGGCGUAAAGCGCGCGCAGGCGGUUCUUCAAGUCAGUGGUGAAAGCCCGGAGCUCAACUCCGGAACUGCCAUUGAAACUGUAGAACUUGAGGAUGAGAGAGGUGAGUGGAAUUCCCAGUGUAGAGGUGAAAUUCGUAGAUAUUGGGAAGAACACCGGUGGCGAAGGCGGCUCACUGGCUCAUUUCUGACGCUCAGGCGCGACAGCGUGGGGAUCGAAACAAGG
rnacentral:rRNA from 1 species